AUCGACACAAAUGUGUGAAAUUUCCUUUUAUUUUGUUAUAAUUCUGUGUUGUGUCAUUUAAAAGCAUGGUCUGGAUGGUAAAGUUUGUCUUUGGUAAUUAAAACAAACUUGUCAAUACAUUUGACUUUCUCUGUAAAGAUUUAUUUAUAUAUUUAUGUUUAUUAUUUUACAGUGUUUUAACAUUUUUCUGUAUUUUUCAUGUUUAUGAUAUUUUGGAAUGACUGGAGAUAAGGUCAGAAUUCAAUAAUCUUCUGGAUGGACCGCAGCAAGUUCUUUUUGCAGUUGUAUCCCUCAAAAUGGUAUGCAGAAAUAUUGGAAAUGACAUUCACAUUGUAGAGCUUGGACAAAGUUCACACAGACUCGGAGCAGAAAUUCAUCAAGGACAUGACUGUUGGGAUUACGGUUGUAGAUGACCAAACUGAGCACCAUCAAUCUGCAGCGAUGUGGUCCAGUCAUCCGGUGAAAUUAAGGGUUGUGAAAGAAAUUGAAGAGGGCAUUCUGAUUAUAACUGAGGAGCAGCAAUGUGAUGUGCUUCCCAAGGAAUAACCAACAUAGCUGUCAUUUGUACAUCUCGUCAUCACUGACAUAUCCCAUGUCCCCAAGGCAUUUGGACUCCUAAUGGGUCUGUAUGCAGUGAACAUCCACUACCUCAAGCACAUGAAAUACACCAUUGAGGCUCUGCAAAAACUUGUGAAGAACAGCUGCUCCCACCAUGUGUUCGCUACAGCGACAGGAAUUGUAGGUGGGGGGAGUGAAUGUACAGCGCUCUCUCCCUCCUUCAAUACCACAACUGAGGUGCCCUUGAGCAAGGCACCGAACCCCCAACUGCUCC